GAACGCGAAGAACCUUACCAGGUCUUGACAUCCCUCUGACCGCUCUAGAGAUAGAGUUUUCCUUCGGGACAGAGGUGACAGGUGGUGCAUGGUUGUCGUCAGCUCGUGUCGUGAGAUGUUGGGUUAAGUCCCGCAACGAGCGCAACCCCUAUUGUUAGUUGCCAUCAUUCAGUUGGGCACUCUAGCGAGACUGCCGGUAAUAAACCGGAGGAAGGUGGGGAUGACGUCAAAUCAUCAUGCCCCUUAUGACCUGGGCUACACACGUGCUACAAUGGCUGGUACAACGAGUCGCAAGUCGGUGACGGCAAGCUAAUCUCUUAAAGCCAGUCUCAGUUCGGAUUGUAGGCUGCAACUCGCCUACAUGGAGUCGGAAUCGCUAGUAAUCGCGGAUCAGCACGCCGCGGUGAAUACGUUCCCGGGUCUUGUACACACC
rnacentral:rRNA from 1 species